CGUGGGAAUAUACCCAGUUCUAAGGAAUAGCCACUGGAAACGGUGAGUAAUACCUUAUACGCCCUUCGGGGGAAAGAUUUAUCGGAAUUGGAUUAGCCCGCGUUAGAUUAGAUAGUUGGUGGGGUAAUGGCCUACCAAGACUAUGAUCAAUAGCUGAUUUGAGAGGAUGAUCAGCCACAUUGGGACUGAGACACGGCCCAAACUCCUACGGGAGGCAGCAGUGGGGAAUCUUGCACAAUGGAGGAAACUCUGAUGCAGCGAUGCCGCGUGAGUGAAGAAGGCCCUUGGGUUGUAAAGCUCUUUCGUCGGGGAAGAAAAUGACUGUACCCGAAUAAGAAGGUCCGGCUAACUUCGUGCCAGCAGCCGCGGUAAUACGAAGGGACCUAGCGUAGUUCGGAAUUACUGGGCUUAAAGAGUUCGUAGGUGGUUGAAAAAGUUAGUGGUGAAAUCCCAGAGCUUAACUCUGGAACUGCCAUUAAAACUUUUCAGCUAGAGUAUGAUAGAGGAAAGCAGAAUUUCUAGUGUAGAGGUGAAAUUCGUAGAUAUUAGAAAGAAUACCAAUUGCGAAGGCAGCUUUCUGGAUCAUUACUGACACUGAGGAACGAAAGCAUGGGUAGCGAAGAGGAUUAGAUACCCUCGUAGUCCAUGCCGUAAACGAUGUGUGUUAGACGUUGGAAAUUUAUUUUCAGUGUCGCAGGGAAACCGAUAAAACACACCGCCUGGGGAGUACGACCGCAAGGUUAAAACUCAAAUGAAUUGACGGG
rnacentral:rRNA from 1 species